CUGCUCGUUUCGGCAGCACAUAUACUAAAAUUGGAAUGAUAGAAGAUUAGCAUGGCCCCUGCACAAGGAUGACACACAAAUUUGUGAAGCAUUCCAUCUUUAA